AACUACCUACUGGUAGAGGGCAACAGGCAAUGGUAGGGCCUGUGACUCAGGAAAGUGAGCCAAUAUGCUGCUAAAAGGAGUCAUCCUUACUCAUCUCCAGGUGAUUACUGCCAGGAAGAAAUGCCAGCCUCAUCUUUUGUGGAGAGAAGUUGGAAAUUCAAUUAAACAAAUACUGAGUGCCUAUUAUGCAUCAAACAAGGGGGAUAAAGCUGGUAGGGUGGUGAAUUGA
rnacentral:lncRNA from 1 species